rnacentral:rRNA from 1 species
GAUCCUGGCUCAGGAUGAACGCUAGCUACAGGCUUAACACAUGCAAGUCGAGGGGCAGCGGGAUUGAAGCUUGCUUCAAUCGCCGGCGACCGGCGCACGGGUGAGUAACGCGUAUCCAACCUUCCGUACACUCAGGGAUAGCCUUUCGAAAGAAAGAUUAAUACCUGAUGGUAUCUUAAGCACACAUGUAAUUAAGGUUAAAGAUUUAUCGGUGUACGAUGGGGAUGCGUUCCAUUAGGUAGUAGGCGGGG